ACUCCCAACUAAACAAUCCCGGACAAAGAUCUUUUUUUUUUUUCCCAAUAACAUCUCCCAAACCUCCGUCCAGCUUGAUCUUCCAGACUCCCUGGCACCGGGCCGAGCUUACGGGACUACCUAGAGAGUGACCACAUUGGAUCCAAACUGCCUUUUUUUCUGGCUGUGGCCCAAACCCACAAAUUGGAAGGAAGGAAGACUGGCUGUGCCUGCAUGGAGCUGGUUCUCUGUUGGACGUAACCUGUACCAUCUCCCUGCCAGCUACUCCUAUUUUUCUUUUUGAUGAAGCCCAAGUUCAACUAAGAGGCCUCCUCCUACUACCAGCUCCUCCCAGGUGCCUCUGCUUCCCGUUCCUCCUUCCAUCUGCCUGCCUCCUCCUCACCACCUCACCCCACUGAUUGGCAGUGGGUCCUUGACUCUACUGAAGCACCAGGCCUCCCAGGGGAAAAGCUGAGCACAUCACCUUAGGCCAACCAGAGGGAGGUGUCAUGGGUGCCUCAGAGGAAGAGCUGCCUCUUCUGGGAGCUGAGAGCUGAGUCUGCUGCAGGAACCAAAGUCCCUGUCACAGAACAUCUUGGGCUUACAUGACCUGAUCAUGGACCGUCCUGAACAUUGAAUCAAUGAGGACGAUGGUUUCUAAGCAUGUACCUAUGACUUGUUGCCAUUUCUGUUCAUGGAAUUCUGUAUUAAUUUUGUUGAACCUAGUUCAUCUUGAGAAUGUGCUCUUAUGAUGUUUUUUUUACCCCUGUACAUGUACGUUUUUGAGCAUGGACACCCUAAUCAUGGACCCCUCUAAUCAUGUCCUCUCUGAUUAUACACUUCCAUUAUCUUAACUGCUCAUGGGCAUGUAAUCUCUUGAUCAUGUAUAAAACCUGAGUAUGUACUUUCUGAGCAUGGAAGGCCUGAGCAGGGAGCUGGCUGAUUAUGUACCUUCAGACCAUAGACCUCUCCUUAGGAGCUUGAACCCUCAUGAUCUUGGAUUUUCUGAGUAUGAAUGCACUCUUAUAAUGUAACCCUUCAGAGAAUUAACAACACUGAGCAUGGACCCUCUUGUGUGGAUACCCUGAACCUAAAAGCCCAAGGAAUAUGCACUCUGGAUCAUGGAACCUCUGGAUGUAAUCAUUUUUUAACAGCAACUCAAUAAGCAUGGACACUUCUGAUUAUAGACUGCCCUAAAGAUCAACUUCCCUAAUCAGAGCCAAUUUCCAGCAUGUACCUACUUGCUAGUUCAUCCUCUGUAUGUGUCCAACCUGAGCAUCAAAACCCUCAUCAAGGCACCUACCGACCGUGACAUACUUCAAUUUUAAUCUCCCUUGAAUGUCACACCACUUGAGCAUAUACUCUUUUCUUGAUGUUUAAUAACUGAACAUGUAAAAUCUGUGCAUGGAAACUUUUGAGCACGGACACACACUGAGUAUAAAACACUCUUGAGAACAAACAGCUUAUCCGUGACCUCUGUAGUGUGGAUAACUUGAGGAUAAACACCAUGAACACAAAUCCCCUGAACGUGGAAUCAUUGACUGCAAUUAUAUCUAAGCAUGAAUCUAAGAAGAGUGGACAUUUCUGUUCAUGGAAUUCUGUAAGUAUUAAUUUUCCUUAUUGUUGUUUACCUACAGAAUGUUCUGUUGUGAUGUUUUAUAACCCCUUUUCCUGUACCUUCCUGUGCAUGAAAUCUCUAAUUGUAUAUUCCUCUAAUCAUGACCUACUUUGAUUGUAAGCUCCCCUUAACAUGGCCCCAUUUGAGCAUAUAUCUUCUAGAUUGCAUUUAAUAUACUAACUCAUACUUUCCUGAACGUGGAUUCUGCUGAGCAUGGAGCCUUUUGAAUUUGGACGACUCUGAGAAUGACACAUUUCAGAAAAUGUAUCGCCAAGACCAUAGAAUGUCUUCCUGUGGGACAUCCUGAGCUUAAACAAUCUGAGAAAGGAACCUUCUGAACAUGGAAUCACAGAGCGCAGUCAUUUCUAAGCAUACAUCUGAGAAUUGUUGAUGUAAAUCCAUGGACUUCUGUAAUUUCCUUGAUCUUACAUCAUCCUGGAAAUGUACCAUUGUGAAUUUGUGUAACAACAUACGAGUACUUUACUAACCAUGGACGCUCUAAUUUUUGAUCCCCCUACUCAUGUAUUCUGUUCAUUUAAACUCCCGUGAUAUUAGUGUCUCUUGACCAUGUAUAACACUGGUCAUUUAUAAAAACUGAAAAUGUUCUCUGAGCCUGAUCAGUGACAUGGCUUACUAUGUACCUUCAGAACACAGACCCUGCCUCAUGAGCAUGAACUCAUGUGAUCCUACACCUUUCUGAGUAUGAAUGCCCUCUGAUAAUGGAACCAGUCUGAGAAAUACCAACACUCUGCAUGGACCCAUAGUGUGGAAUAUCCUGAACAUAAAGGUCGAAGGAAUGUACUGUUUUGAUCAUGAAAUCCUUGUGCGUAAUCAGUGAUCAAUGAUACACAUCGACUCAAUUAGCAUGGACACUUCUGAUGAUGGACUGCCCUAAGAAUCAACUUCCCUUAUCGGACCCAAAUUUGAACAUGUACCUAAUUGGUAGUUUAUCCCCUGUAUGUGUACCAGCCUGAGCAUCAAAAUCCUCAGCAUGGAACCUACUGACCAUGACAUACUGCGAUUUUAAUCUCCCUUGAAUAUCGUGCCACUUGAGUAUAUACUCUUCUCUUGAUGUUUAAUCACUGAACUUGUAAAAUCUGGGCAUGGAAACGUGUGAGUAAGAACACACACUGAGAAUAAAAAUCUUGUGAGAACAAAUAGCUUAUCCAUAGCCUCUCUUGUGUGGAUAACUUGAGGAUAAACAAGAGGAACAUGGAUCUUCUGAACAUGAAGAAUGAACGGUAUUACAUUUAAGUGUAAAUCUAAGAAGGGUGGGCAUUCGUUUCAUUGAAUUCUGUAAGUACUAAUUUCCCUGAUCCAAUUUUACCUUGAGAAUGUUCUUUUAUAAUUUUGUGUAACAACUUUUCCU